AUUGAACGCUGGCGGCAGGCCUAACACAUGCAAGUCGAGCGGAUGACGGGAGCUUGCUCCUUGAUUCAGCGGCGGACGGGUGAGUAAUACCUAGGAAUCUGCCUGAUAGUGGGGGACAACGUUUCGAAAGGAACGCUAAUACCGCAUACGUCCUACGGGAGAAAGCAGGGGACCUUCGGGCCUUGCGCUAGCAGAUGAGCCUAGGUCGGAUUAGCCAGUUGGUGAGGUAAUGGCUCACCAAGGCGACGAUCCGUAACUGGUCUGAGAGGAUGAUCAGUCAAACUGGAACUGAGACACGGUCCAGACUCCUACGGGAGGCAGCAGUGGGGAAUAUUGGACAAUGGGCGAAGGCCUGAUCCAGCCAUGCCGCGUGUGUGAAAAAGGUCUUCGGAUUGUAAAGCACUUUAAGUUGGGAGGAAGGGCAGUAAGCUAAUACCUUGCUGUUUUGACGUUACCGACAGAAUAAGCACCGGCUAACUCUGUGCCAGCCGCCGCAGUAAAAC
rnacentral:rRNA from 1 species